GAAGCUGACCAGACAGUCGCCGCUUCGUCGUCGUCCUCCUUCGGGGGGAGACGGGCGGAGGGGAGGAAAGUCCGGGCUCCAUAGGGCAAGGUGCCAGGUAACGCCUGGGGGGUGUCACAGCCCACGACCAGUGCAACAGAGAGCAAACCGCCGAUGGCCCGCGCAAGCGGGAUCAGGUAAGGGUGAAAGGGUGCGGU
rnacentral:RNase_P_RNA from 1 species